rnacentral:rRNA from 1 species
UACGAAGGGGGCUAGCGUUGCUCGGAAUCACUGGGCGUAAAGCGCACGUAGGCGGAUCUUUAAGUCAGGGGUGAAAUCCCAAGGCUCAACCUCGGAACUGCCUUUGAUACUGGAGAUCUUGAGUCCGGAUGAGGUAAGUGGAACUGCGAGUGUAGAGGUGAAAUUCGUAGAUAUUCGCAAGAACACCAGUGGCGAAGGCGGCUUACUGGUCCGGAACUGACGCUGAGGUGCGAAAGCGUGGGGAGCAAACAGG